rnacentral:tRNA from 1 species
GGAGAGGUGGCAGAGUGGUCGAAUGCGCCGGUUUGCUAAAUCGGUGACCGGUUUACGCUGGUCCGCAGGUUCAAAUCCUGUCCUCUCCGC